UCCCUGGUGGUCCAGUGGUUAGGACUCUUUGCUUCAAAUGCAGGGGGCAUGAGUUCAAUCCCUGUUCAGGGAA
rfam:TPA: Bos taurus chromosome 10, whole genome shotgun sequence.